AGUCGCUGGGGAUGACGGCGCCGAGCCGCGGGGAGAGCGCGGGGCCGCCGCCCAGCACGAAGCCGGUGCAUGAAAAAGCAGCUUCCCUGAAGAGCUCUGAGCUCAUGCACAGCCAGGAGAAACUGGAGGUGUCUCAUAAGGAGAAGAGCUUGGAUGCCCUGGAUGGCAGUUUGCAUCUGAAUGAAGCUCUGAAGGAUGAAGAAAUAAAGAAAUGUCUCAGAGAAGCGACACCAAAUAAAUACAACUCGCAGUACCACAAGCUGUUCAAGGACAUCCCCACGGAGGAGAGUGUCUUGAAAGUCUGCUCCUGUGCGCUCCAGAGAGACAUCCUCAUCCAGGGGCGGCUCUACAUCUCCCCCAACUGGCUCUGCUUCUAUGCAAACCUCUUCGGGAAGGACAUCAAGGUGGUUAUCCCAGUGGUCUCGGUUCAAUUGAUAAAAAAGCACAAAACGGCCCGGCUGCUGCCCAAUGGGCUGGCUAUCACCACCAAUGCCAGCAGAAAGUACAUCUUUGUGUCCUUGAUCUCUCGAGACAGCGUGUACGAUGUGCUGAGGAGAGUCUGCACGCACCUACAGGUUUCAAGUAAGAAGAGUUUGAGUUUGAAAGAAUUCACAGAGGAACCUGAUUCCGUAUCCCUGGAGGUGAUCGUCCCAGAAGUGAAGUGGAGGAAGGUUUCCCCAGCAUCUCUCUCCCUAUCUCUCCCGGAUGCAGACUACCAGUGCAUCCACCGAGCGUCCAUCAGCAGCCUCAGCACCAAGGAGAGCUCUUUUAAUUCCGAGGAGCCCCUGGUAUCAGAAAGUGCAAUAAACACAGAAGAGGAGGAAUUGGAGGAAGAACCAAACUAUGUAGCAGAGCUGAGACCCUCUGAUUAUCAGCUCUUGAAAAUCUUCAUCGUACUGAUCUGCCUCCUGGUUGUGUCCUCGUCAUAUCUGGCAUUCCGGAUCUUCCGUCUGGAGCAGCAGCUCUGCUCUCUGAAUCGGGACUACCUCUCACGCGGGCACCGGAGGUGACCGUCGCCCCAGAGCUGUGGCUUACGAUGGACUUUGACAGGAAAAUAGCACUUUGUGUACAGAUCUCCAGGGCGUCCUACUGGUGAGCGUGUCUGCAAUAUCGAGAGAGUCUGAAUCCAGGAUUGCUCACUCUUUUAUUCCGCGUUACUUCUGGCUCGUGACACCUCCCUUUGCAAUGGCAAAACCCCACAUCCCUCCCUCCCUUGGCCCAUCGUGCUGUGGGAUCGGACUGGAGCCCAGCAGGCCAUCCAUGCAGCCACUUCUUCCAAGCGAUAGCCACCUGUUUGUACAAAACCCGCUGCCAAGCAUUGACUGUUUAUCAGAGUCUUGGGUGCAGCUUUGUUGGACGGCAGCUCGAGCUGCAUCUCCAGCCGGAUUCUGAGAGCAAGUAAGAACAGUUAGUAGCUCGAUGGUCCAGGAAUCAUUUCUGUUGAGCAUAGGAGGUGUCACAGCAGCAUGCAAUCUGCUGCGCCCUUGAUCAGCACACUUAGGACCAAAUACUGUUGUUCUUCUACCAGCAGAGACUCCUGCUCAAGCAGGGACAGACUGUCAGUAUAACCUGAGCUGCUGCCAGCAGGACUCCCCUUCUUUUCAAUGGGCGAGGGCCUGGUGCUAGUGAAACCACAUGUUCUUCCAGGGGCCUUGGCUUUGGCCCAGACACACGGUGCCCAGAGCCAAAUCACCAUGGUAGCGGGAGACUCUAGCACUAUGACACCAGCAUUGGGCCAUCGUCGCAUCCAUCGGACGGUGGCACAACAAACUACAGGACAACCGUGGACCUCAGUUAAGUGAGAAGCCCUGGUAGCAGAGACUGACCCUCCCUACAGAGCUCAGGAUGGGGGACACAGCUGGGGCAUGUUCUGUUCUCCCAGAACACACAUCCCACACUCAGCUAGUUCUCCUCAGGACGGAUUUCCUCUUGCCCUUCGGGGUUUCCACAUUACCCUUCCACACUGGGCCUUGGCCUAGCCGGGUCCCGAAAUGCAUCUCCGCUUAGGUGCCAGUGUUCAUACUCAGGCAAUAGCUCAGUUACAGUAGUUGUCAUAACAACUUUCAGUGUAAAAAUUACAGCUCCAGUGAGAUGCCAGACAGGAGUUAGAGGCCUCUUGGCCUGAUACCUGCUGAAGUCAGGUUCUUCAGGUGGCAAUAGCAGACUGUUAGUCGUGGGGAUUCUUGUGCAACUCACAUCCCCUGUGAGGCUAGUGUGCGCAGCAUAGAUCAUGCUUAACCGUCCCACAUCCCUUCCAAAACGUACCAUGGUCCCUGUGCCAGCAUUCCUUCAGGGCAGAAGAGAGGUGAAAAUAAAGGGAUAAGGUGGUUCGCUAACCCCAAAGCCCAGCCCCACCCAGCGCUAUGCAGAGUACGUGCCAUACUGUAAUAAUACUCUGCUGCACUGGGCAAUCCAGGGAAAGGGCAGCCCGCUCAUCCGCAAGCAGAUGCAAAGCUGCAAAGCAAGGCCGACCUGCACUGGGUAGAGUUUGGCAGUGGGGAGAUGAACAGGCUAGAAUUAGACCCCUCAUUCGGCUCCUUGAGGAGGCCAGAGGGACAGUUUAGAACCAGAUUCAGGAGGGCUCUGUUUGAAAGGCGUCUGCACUUUAAGGGAAAUACAGAGACUGGCCAGGAACCAGCAGUGCUGAGUCCAAACUUG